ensembl:snRNA U2 U2 spliceosomal RNA
AUCGCUUCUCGGCUAAGAUCAAGUGUAGUAUCUGUUCUUAUCAGUUUCAAAAGCUCUCUCACAAUUGCUCAUUUCUGCCAAUUGACAGUGUUUUCAUGCAACAACUCUCUGGUUUUACUGAUUGAAACUUAAUUUAUGAAUUAGAUUGCAAUAUAGCAAAUAUUCAGGGCAGUAGGUUAGCACUU